UAGCUCAGUUGGUAGAGCAUGGUGUUUGCAAUGCCAGGGUUGUGGGUUUGAUUCCUAC
rnacentral:tRNA from 1 species